rnacentral:ncRNA from 1 species
UGAGAGCGUUGAAGUAAGAGGUUGCUACUUGAAAAGUAAGUAGGUUUUCUUAUGGAGCGAUGUCUAGUUCAAGAAACUGACGACAA